AGGUAAUUUCAAGUUAUGUUAUAAAGUAAAUAUUUAAUAUAAGCAAUAUUUAACAAAUUCGCAAAUACGAAUCAAUACACAUUUCUGACCAAGAUGGACGACCGAUGAAAUUAAAUCGGGAGGAGAGUCAAUUAUAUCAAAGAUUCUUUUCAAAUAGUGCGUUUCAAGCAAUAAGCAAGAUGGCCGACAACGCGAAAACACGCAAACGCAAGCCAAACUGGUCGUUUAAAGAGAAAAUGUGUUUAGUGGAUGAAUGUGUUGCCAAAACAAUAGUCUGUAAGCUGCCUGGUGAUAAUGACACACAGGAACAAUUCUGGGUGGCUACCUGUGAGAAGGUGAACACAAUUGGCCAGAAUGGCCGCAAUGUAGAGACAGUAAAGGAGAAAUGGAAUAAAUUAAAGGUAUAUCAACUUAUGAAAUCUAAUGUAUCUUACCACAAUUUAAUUAUAAAAAAUCACCCUGUCAGUUACGUGUGAGGUUUUAUAAAUGAAAGACAUGUUUAUUUGGUGUAGAUAUACAGUUUGUAUAUAUUGUUACUUUCAUAAUUUUCUUAGGAUGACGCGAUACUGAGGCAUCAACUCAGACGCGGCAUAAUCAAUCUAACGGACUCGGAGCAAAAGAUAGUAGACGCACUGAAUAACACAGACACCGGUGAAAUUACGUUGCCCCUCAAUUCAUUGGCUCUACAAAAAACAAGUCUUAAUGAAGAGACCUCAUCAAGCACAAUACUUGAACACGCGUCGGAAAAUCCGCCGAAUAGCUCAUGUGAGACCAAGUCAGAAGAGCCGGUAUUUGAAAGACAGAUAACCGAGGCUUCUGUGCAGUAUGCAAAGUACAUGUUCUUCAAAGAACAAACAGAAAAAGCACGAUUAAAACAGAUUCUGAUCCAACAGCAGAUAAAAACGCAACAAGCUCUUGAGAAGUACUUACUGUUGGAAAAUGAAAAAAAACUUCGUAAGAUUGUGCUGGACACUGUUACUGAACAAUAGGGUUCCAUUCCUUGGUCAGUGUCCAUAGAUUGUUGGACUAACAUGUUUUUUCAUAUUUCCAAGAUGAACAAUUACGGGAGAAAAAUGUAUUUUCCCUUUGUUAUAAUAUCAAAACUGCUAUAUUCAUAUAACUGACAUGACUAAAUAUUUAAAAAUUGUGUCCUUAAUGAAAAUAAUAAACAAUCAGAACGACCAAGAUUAUAUUGUCAAUAUUAACUCUCUUGCAAAGAUUUUAACACUAAAAUGGGUAGGGAAAUGCAUUUAUAAAACAAAAAUUGCAUUAAUCUAAGGCACCAUUUUUAUCAGAUAUGCACCUGCAAAUGUAAGCAACAAUGACAUAUGUACCCACUUUUUAUACUAGAUGCUUCUAAGGCCCAAAUUCUCCCUGAUGCGUUAGACGCACAAUAAUCAAUUAAAGGGAAAUUCUUUAUAAAUACGUUUUCAUUGUUUUCCAACACAUAAUUACAUGCAACGGUCUUAUAUUUGCAACAUUAUUUUCAGUUUGUUAACUUUAAAUGUCUGUUCACCUGAAGCUUUUUAACCAGGUUUUCCAAGGGAAAAAACUGGUUAUUAGAUUGGCGAAUGCGGGCGGGCUGGCUGGCUGGCUGGCUGGCUGGCUGGCUGGCGGGCUGGCGGGCAGGCGGAACAAGCUUGUCCGGGCCAUAACUAUGUCGUUCAUUGUCAGAUUUUAAAAUCAUUUGGCACAUUUGUUCACCAUCAUUGGACGGUGUGUCGCGUGAAAUAAUUACGUCGAUAUCUCCAAGGUCAAGGUCACACUUUGAGUUCAAAGGUCAAAAAUGGCCAUAAAUGAGCUUGUCCUGGCCAUAACUAUGUCAUUCAUUGUGAGAUUUUAAAAUCAUUUGGCUCAUUUGUUCACCAUCAUGGGACGGUGUGUCGCACGAAAGAAUCAUGUCAAUAUCUCCAAUGUCAAGGUCGCCACGACUAAAAAUAGAUUUUUUUUAAAAACAAACUUACAAAGGGGGUUAAUUUUGUUUGUUCAUUUCAAAAGUUCAGUUUGAGUUUUCUCCCUUUAUCAGAUUUUUUUUUUCACAAUGAAAACCUGGUUUUAGACAAUUUUGUCCCUUGUUUUUCUUGUAAUUAUUUGUUAUGUGAUCGCUAAUAAAGACAUAAUAUGGUUUGUAAUUUUGAUUAUAAGCAUAAUGUAUAGAGGAAAUGAUGCAUUUGUUGAAUAUUUCAAAAAAAUAAACAUGUUCUAAGACACUAAGGAUUAGAUCUAAAUUCUGUAAAUUAUGUGUAAGUCAUUAUUUCUCCUAUGGUAAAGGUAGUUUGUUUUUUCCACCGUCCAUGCCUAUUGCUUUGUCUUUGUAUGUCACUGUCUACAAUUAUAUAGAUAACGUUUGACUUUGGAUGUGUUGCAUAUGCAUUUCUUUGUAUGUCACUGUCUAUAAUUAUAUGGUAUAUUGUGUUGCAUAUGUAUUUCUUUGGAUGUCACUGUCUAUAAUUAUAUGGUAUAUUGUGUUGCAUAUGUAGUUAUAUAUGUGUCUGUUUCCAGAGUCUUGUAAUAAAAUGUGUUGGGGAAAAAAUUAAGGGAAUUUUCGUCCACACAAACAACAUCUUUAUAUAUGCUCAACAUUUGACAUAAUAGAACAUAUUCAAUAACUUAUAUUUAAAGAUAUAAUUCAUUUAUGAUAACGGACAAAUUAAGGUUAUUCAGCAGUUGACGUUUAUACAAUGCGAGGUUAGGUGAAAUGCAAUGCUUAAGGCUUCCAACGCUGUACAUUGACUAAAUUGUUAUUAUUAUGAUGUAUAUAUGAAGAUUACAGUUAUGCCCCAAAGAAUGACACAUUAAGCAUCUCACAUUUCAAUCCAUAUAUUGUCUUUUGGGAUCCAUUUUAUUCUUAAAAGUUGUCAAAUGUUCGGGCACUCUCCGCCACGAUAUUUAGUGACUGUUACUGUCCAUCGUAAUACCUCACCUCUGCAUGUAUUGUUGGCCUAAGCAAUGGAAUGGAAGUGGAACUGGAAUAUCAGAGUUCACAAGGAAAAAAAUCACACAUUAAUUAACCAUACUGUCGUCCAUAUUUAUAGUCUACCUAUUAUAUGUUGUGCUGUUCAAGUUUUGAGCAAAUGAAAAAGUUACAUUAAAAUCAAAAAUUUAAUAAAACAUAGUUACCAAUAGGAAUACAAAUUACCAUGAAAGUCAGCUACUUCAGACAGAAAGGCCUUCUUUGCCAAAGACUCACAGCACCUACCAAAGUAUUAACACACAUUAAUUACUUAAUUACUCAAUGUAAAAAAUGUUAAAUUAAAAAAAUUGUAUGGUUCAAUCAAAUUACAUUAUACUUUUAUAUAUUUUCUUGCUGAUGUUUAUGGUAUACAUUGUAUUAAAAAAUUCUUAUACAUUAAAAAACAGUUUUUUUUUCCAAAUUUGAUUAUUAUAAUGCACCUAGAAACAAUAAGAAAAUCAGAAAAAUAUCAAUGAAGAUGUUGUUUGAAAAGCAUUUGUAAGUGGCCAGUAACAAUGUAGACCUAUUACUAAAAGGGAAAGACAAAUGCGUGGGAUGAAAAUUAAGCAUACACGUAAUAAAGCAGACGUUGCUGUCAAGUCGGUUCUACUUUUUACACUGUACGGUAUUUCAUUUGCCCAUGAUUAUUAAGCAUUUAACUGUACAUCACACAGUGCUUUAGCUUAUAAUUAUAUGCAUGUCUGACAUGAACUAUAGCUGGACUGCAGGGUAUUCUUAUGGCAACUUCAGUUGAAGUCAUUAUGGAAACAAAUAAAUAAAUUGAAAAAUUA